rnacentral:rRNA from 1 species
AUGCACGCUGGCGGCGUGCCUAAUACAUGCCAGUCGAGCGAACGGACGAGAAGCUUGCUUCUCUGAUGUUAGCGGCGGACGGGUGAGUAACACGUGGAUAACCUACCUAUAAGACUGGGAUAACUUCGGGAAACCGGAGCUAAUACCGGAUAAUAUUUUUAACCGCAUGGUUCAAAAGUGAAAGACGGUCUUGCUGUCACUUAUAGAUGGAUCCGCGCUGCAUUAGCUAGUUGGUAAGGUAACGGCUUACCAAGGCAACGAUGCAUAGCCGACCUGAGAGGGUGAUCGGCCACACUGGAACUGAGACACGGUCCAGACUCCUACGGGAGGCAGCAGUAGGGAAUCUUCCGCAAUGGGCGAAAGCCUGACGGAGCAACGCCGCGUGAGUGAUGAAGGUCUUCGGAUCGUAAAACUCUGUUAUUAGGGAAGAACAUAUGUGUAAGUAACUGUGCACAUCUUGACGGUACCUAAUCAGAAAGCCACAGCUAACUACGUG